GCCGUUCUUACAACUAUAAUUCAAUUAUCUUUCUAUACGUAAACAAACCAUUUGCCUAACCUAGUAGUUGUGAUCGAACAGUAAAAAGUAAUAAAUAGUACCGCAAGGGAACAAUAUAAGCAAUAAUCAGCAAAGACUAAAUCUUGUACCUUUCGCAUCAUGAUUUAGCAAGAUCUCCAAGCAAGAAGCCCCAUAGCUUUUUUUCCCGAAACCGGAUGAGCUAUUCUUAAGCAGUCUAACGGACGCACCCUUCUCUGUAGCAAAAGAGUGGGAAGACUUAAAAAUAGCAGUGAAACGCUUACCGAAUCCGGAGAUAGCUGGCUACCUAAUAACAGAAUAUAAGUUCUACUCUAAAUUUAACUUAAAACAUUAUACCUUUUAGAGACAAUCAAUAGAGGUACUGCCCUAUUGAAACAGGAUACAACCUGGAUUUGUAAGAUACCCACCCAUCUUCCCCUGUAGGCCCUUAAGCAGCCACCCAAUAAAGUAUCGUCAUAGAAUUAACUUAAAUAAUCCUAAUCCUUACUUACAACUUCAAACCAACUCAAGGUGAAUCUACUUAAGUAGAUACCAUUAUGCUAAAACUAAUAAUUAGACUUACCCUCUCCAGUGUAACCCCCACUUAACCCAGUAGUUAACAGACCAUAAAAGGUGAACAACCAUCCCAUACCCACCUUUAAACUAACUGUGACACCAACCCAGGAACACUAAAAAGAAAGAUUAAUCGUUAUAAAAGGAACUCGGCAACCACGGAACUCCAACUGUUUAACAAAAACAUAACCUUUAGAUAAACUAAUAUUAAAGGCAACGCCUGCCCAGUGAAUAAUUAAACGGCCGCGGUAUCCUAACCGUGCAAAGGUAGCAUAAUCAUUUGUCUAUUAAUUGUAGACUCGCAUGAAAGGCCUCAUGAGAGCCCAUCUGUCUCUUAUAACAAAUCAAUUAAACUGAUCUCCCAGUACAAAAGCUGGAAUCCCCUAUAAGACCAGAAGACCCUGUGAAGCUUUAACUAAACUAUUAAACUUAAUAAUAACUAAUUUCGGUUGGGGCGACCUUGGAACAAAAAAGAACUUCCAAAUACGUGACAUAGUCUCACAACGGCUGACAAGCCCAUAGACCCAGUAUACWGAUUUAUGAACUAAGUUACUCCAGGGAUAACAGCGCUAUCUUCUUUAAGAGCCCAUAUCAAAAAGAGGGUUUACGACCUCGAUGUUGGAUCAGGACAUCCUAGUAAUGCAACCGUUUCUAAGGGUUCGUUUGUUCAACGAUUAAUAGUCCUACGUGAUCUGAGUUCAGACCGGAGCAAUCCAGGUCAGUUUCUAUCUAUAAAUAGUUAUACCCAGUACGAAAGGACAGGCAUAACAUAGCCAAUACUUAAAGCACGCUAUAGUCAUAAAAUAUCCUAUUAAAACACUUAAUACACUACUUCUUUAAACCUAGCACAGGUUAAUUAAGAUAUCAUCUUA
rnacentral:rRNA from 1 species